rnacentral:lncRNA from 1 species
GGAAUCGUAUUCACCUUGGGUUUCAUUGAGUUUGGAUUAAGAUAGCUUCAAAGGUAUAGGCUUCGGCCGAACUAUGUCGCUCUAACCCUACUUUUCAUGGUGUUGUAUGAGAAUAUGAUUGUGAGAUGUUGUGAUUGUUUCAGACGAACCGUUGGAUGUCUGGGUGACUCCUUCGGAGUUUGCGAAGGUUUGGUAUUAAUUUCUUAUGAAUGAUUCAUAUUCAAAGUUUAUAAACUGUGAUUGAUAGUUGGUUUUAUCACUAUUAUCACACUUUGUAUUAUUGUCGCUCACCUGAGCUUCACAACUUAUCCAAGAUCUAAAUUGCCCAGUGCACCAUUUCCAUGAUGUAGGCACUGAUUUUAAAUGCAACAAGUCUGGAUAGAUUAUGAGAAACCGAUUGAUAUUUUGGUUCCGUUGAAUGGUCCGGAACCCGAUGUCGUUGGAUUCCGUUGAGUGGUCCGGAAUCCUUACUCUUGCACAUUCCAAAAGGUUAGUCUAGAACCCUAGAUUCGAGCGAAUGGGAAUUAUCCAUAGACCUUGUGAAUAUAAAUUAGAAUUACCAUGUUAUUACUCAUAACCCAAGUAGGGAAUUAUAUAGAGUUCUCUAAUUGAAUUGGUGAAAUGGUGUGUUAUCUCGUUGAUUGAUUAACGUAGUUAAAUGCUAAGAUCAGCAUCCUUGAUUCAUGAAGGGAUUAAUUGAUGGGAAUUGUGGAAUGACGUUGGAUAUGAUUGUUAUUAUUAUGAUUAUUUAGUGAUCAAUGUGGCUGAAGAAUAAUAUUGUGCUUCGUUGGUUAUUGGAUAAGUUACAUG